rnacentral:rRNA from 1 species
GAUGAACGCUGGCGGCGUGCCUAAUACAUGCAAGUCGAGCGAACGGACGAGAAGCUUGCUUCUCUGAUGUUAGCGGCGGACGGGUGAGUAACACGUGGAUAACCUACCUAUAAGACUGGGAUAACUUCGGGAAACCGGAGCUAAUACCGGAUAAUAUUUUGAACCGCAUGGUUCAAAAGUGAAAGACGGUCUUGCUGUCACUUAUAGAUGGAUCCGCGCUGCAUUAGCUAGUUGGUAAGGUAACGGCCUACCAAGGCAACGAUGCAUAGCCGACCUCAUAGGGUGAUCGGCCGCCCUGGAGCUUAAACGCGGUCCAUAGGCCUGAGAGAGGGAGCAGUAUGGAAUCGGCCGCAGUGGGCGGAAGCCUGGCGCAGCAACGGCGCGUCUGUGGUGAAGAUCUUCCGUGCGUAAAACCCGGUUAUGGGGGGUAAACAUAUUUGGACUGAGCUGUGCACAUCGUGACGGUACCUAGUCAGAAAGCCACGGCUAACUACGUG